GGGUGGCCGACGCGUUUACUUUGAAAAAAUUAGAGUGUUCAAAGCAGGCCUCGCUGCCUGAAUAAUGGUGCAUGGAAUAAUGGAAUAGGACCUCGGUUCUAUUUUGUUGGUUUUCGGAAUU
rnacentral:rRNA from 1 species